UACGGAGGGUGCGAGCGUUGUCCGGAAUCAUUGGGCGUAAAGAGCGCGUAGGCGGUCCGAUAAGUCGGCUGUGAAAGUCAGGGGCUCAACCCUUGAAAGCCGGCCGAUACUGUCGGACUAGAGUCCGGAAGAGGCGAGUGGAAUUCCCGGUGUAGCGGUGAAAUGCGCAGAUAUCGGGAGGAACACCAAUGGCGAAGGCAGCUCGCUGGGACGGUACUGACGCUGAGGCGCGAAAGCCAGGGGAGCGAACGGG
rnacentral:rRNA from 1 species